GUUGUUGUCUCUUGGUUGUUUUCUUUUUUUCUUAAUUGGAGUGAGAUUUCUCAUGAAUAAUGAAAUUAAUGUCUUUUGCAGCCAAAAUAAACACCAUAUGGUCAGGGAGAAAGGGACCAGGAAAAGAUGAGGAAGGCACAGCAGCAGCUGAAGCUGAUAGGAGACAAAAUGGACUGAAGGAAACAGAGAGGGGCCAGUAACCUCAGGGUGCUGUGCCACAGGCUGUACUAGCCCAGGUCAUGCUCUGUGGGACUCUCAGCUGUCCUUGCUUGGUGGAACAGGUGGGAUUGCAGAGGGCAUCAGAGCAGCUUCUGGAGGAUGACUUACCUUCACCCAAAUGCCUCUUCCACAGUGAUACCUGCAGAAUCCCAGGAAACCUCAGCAGAGAUGACAAGACACCCUGCUGGAAAUGAUUCCUGCACUUAAUAAGUAAAUGGGCUUUCCUGGGAGCAAAACAAAGAGCCUGAUGUGUUUCCU